UACAGAGGUCUCAAGCGUUGUUCGGAUUCAUUGGGCGUAAAGGGUGCGUAGGCGGCGCGGCAAGUCGGGUGUGAAAUCUCGGAGCUUAACUCCGAAACUGCAUUCGAUACUGCCGUGCUUGAGGACUGGAGAGGAGACUGGAAUUUACGGUGUAGCGGUGAAAUGCGUAGAUAUCGUAAGGAAGACCAGUGGCGAAGGCGGGUCUCUGGACAGUUCCUGACGCUGAGGCACGAAAGUCAGGGGAGCAAACAGG
rnacentral:rRNA from 1 species